rnacentral:rRNA from 1 species
GGAUUUGUCAGUUGGUCGGCUUCACUGUCCGUAUUGACUUGACGGAUUCUUACCUUCUGAAUAACCAGCAUGCUAUUAAUUUAGUGCGUUGGGGAAGCAGAUCUAUUACCUUGAAAAAAUUAGAGUGCUUAAAGCGUGCUAGUGUUUGAAUAGAUUAGCAUGGAAUAAUAAAAUAGGACGGCAUGGUUCUAUUUUGUUGGUUUCUAGAGUCGCCGUA